GAUUUGCAGCAGGGUGUGUCCAGAUGGUCAGUCUCUGGUGGCUAGCCUGUCCUGACAGGGGAGAGUUAAGCUCCCGCUCUCCACCGUGCCGGCUGGCCAGGUGGGCUGAGGGUGACCGAGAGACCAGAACCUGCUUGCUGGAGCUUAGUGCUCAGAGCUGGGGAGGGAGGUUCCGCCGCUCCUCUGCUGUCAGCGCCGGCAGCCCCUCCCAGCUUCACUUCCUCCCACAGCCCCUGCUACUGAGAAGCUCCGGGAUCCCAGCAGCCGCCACGCCCUGGCCUCAGCCUGCGGGGCUCCAGUCAGGCCAACACCGACGCGCAGCUGGGAGGAAGACAGGACCCUUGACAUCUCCAUCUGCACAGAGGUCCUGGCUGGACCGAGCAGCCUCCUCCUCCUAGGAUGACCUCACCCUCCAGCUCUCCAGUUUUCAGGUUGGAGACAUUAGAUGGAGGCCAAGAAGAUGGCUCUGAGGCGGACAGAGGAAAGCUGGAUUUUGGGAGCGGGCUGCCUCCCAUGGAGUCACAGUUCCAGGGCGAGGACCGGAAAUUCGCCCCUCAGAUAAGAGUCAACCUCAACUACCGAAAGGGAACAGGUGCCAGUCAGCCGGAUCCAAACCGAUUUGACCGAGAUCGGCUCUUCAAUGCGGUCUCCCGGGGUGUCCCCGAGGAUCUGGCUGGACUUCCAGAGUACCUGAGCAAGACCAGCAAGUACCUCACCGACUCGGAAUACACAGAGGGCUCCACAGGUAAGACGUGCCUGAUGAAGGCUGUGCUGAACCUUAAGGACGGGGUCAAUGCCUGCAUUCUGCCACUGCUGCAGAUCGACCGGGACUCUGGCAAUCCUCAGCCCCUGGUAAAUGCCCAGUGUACAGAUGACUAUUACCGAGGCCACAGCGCUCUGCACAUCGCUAUUGAGAAGAGGAGUCUGCAGUGUGUGAAGCUCCUGGUGGAGAAUGGGGCCAAUGUGCAUGCCCGGGCCUGCGGCCGCUUCUUCCAGAAGGGCCAAGGGACUUGCUUUUAUUUCGGUGAGCUACCCCUCUCUUUGGCCGCUUGCACCAAGCAGUGGGAUGUGGUAAGCUACCUCCUGGAGAACCCACACCAGCCCGCCAGCCUGCAGGCCACUGACUCCCAGGGCAACACAGUCCUGCAUGCCCUAGUGAUGAUCUCGGACAACUCAGCUGAGAACAUCGCACUGGUGACCAGCAUGUAUGAUGGGCUCCUCCAAGCUGGGGCCCGCCUCUGCCCUACCGUGCAGCUUGAGGACAUCUGCAACCUGCAGGAUCUCACGCCUCUGAAGCUGGCCGCCAAGGAGGGCAAGAUCGAGAUUUUCAGGCACAUCCUGCAGCGGGAGUUUUCAGGACUGAGCCACCUUUCCCGAAAGUUCACCGAGUGGUGCUAUGGGCCUGUCCGGGUGUCGCUGUAUGACCUGGCUUCUGUGGACAGCUGUGAGGAGAACUCGGUGCUGGAGAUCAUUGCCUUUCAUUGCAAGAGCCCGCACCGACACCGAAUGGUCGUUUUGGAGCCCCUGAACAAACUGCUGCAGGCGAAAUGGGAUCUGCUCAUCCCCAAGUUCUUCUUAAACUUCCUGUGUAAUCUGAUCUACAUGUUCAUCUUCACCGCUGUUGCCUACCAUCAGCCUACCCUGAAGAAGGCUGCCCCUCACCUGAAAGCGGAGGUUGGAAACUCCAUGCUGCUGACGGGCCACAUCCUUAUCCUGCUAGGGGGGAUCUACCUCCUCGUGGGCCAGCUGUGGUACUUCUGGCGGCGCCACGUGUUCAUCUGGAUCUCGUUCAUAGACAGCUACUUUGAAAUCCUCUUCCUGUUCCAGGCCCUGCUCACAGUGGUGUCCCAGGUGCUGUGUUUCCUGGCCAUUGAGUGGUACCUGCCCCUGCUUGUGUCUGCGCUGGUGCUGGGCUGGCUGAACCUGCUUUACUAUACACGUGGCUUCCAGCACACAGGCAUCUACAGUGUCAUGAUCCAGAAGGUCAUCCUGCGGGACCUGCUGCGCUUCCUUCUGAUCUACUUAGUCUUCCUUUUCGGCUUCGCUGUAGCCCUGGUGAGCCUGAGCCAGGAGGCUUGGCGCCCCGAAGCUCCUACAGGCCCCAAUGCCACAGAGUCAGUGCAGCCCAUGGAGGGACAGGAGGACGAGGGCAACGGGGCCCAGUACAGGGGUAUCCUGGAAGCCUCCUUGGAGCUCUUCAAAUUCACCAUCGGCAUGGGCGAGCUGGCCUUCCAGGAGCAGCUGCACUUCCGCGGCAUGGUGCUGCUGCUGCUGCUGGCCUACGUGCUGCUCACCUACAUCCUGCUGCUCAACAUGCUCAUCGCCCUCAUGAGCGAGACCGUCAACAGUGUCGCCACUGACAGCUGGAGCAUCUGGAAGCUGCAGAAAGCCAUCUCUGUCCUGGAGAUGGAGAAUGGCUAUUGGUGGUGCAGGAAGAAGCAGCGGGCAGGCGUGAUGCUGACCGUUGGCACUAAGCCAGAUGGCAGCCCCGAUGAGCGCUGGUGCUUCAGCCGGGUGUGAUGGCGGGCGCCUGUAGUCCCAGCUACUCAGGAGGCUGACGCAGGAGAAUGGCAUGAACCUGGGAGGCGGAGCUUGCAGUGAGCCGAGAUCGCACCACUGCACUCCAGCCUGGGCGACACAGCGAGACUCCAUCUCAAAAAAAAAAAAAAAAAAAGAAAACAACAGCAACGAAAAAAACAGACACUGUCGUGAGGCAGCAGAUGAACAGAGAGACGGAGUCUUGGGCAUGAGGAGCAGCCAUGAUAGGCCCCAGAACCCGGAAGCACAGAUACACCUGAUCUGAAUUCCUCUUCUCUGGUUGUUCUGGGCAACCCAGGCUGCUGUGAACAGCCAGAAGCGAUGGAUGCUGAUUCCUGCAAGGUGGAGGAGGUGAACUGGGCUUCAUGGGAGCAGACGCUGCCUACGCUGUGUGAGGACCCGUCAGGGGCAGGUGUCCCUCGAACUCUCGAGAACCCUGUCCUGGCUUCCCCUCCCAAGGAGGAUGAGGAUGGUGCCUCUGAGGAAAACUAUGUGCCCGUCCAGCUCCUCCAGUCCAGCUGAUGGCCCAGAUGCAGCAGGAGGCCAGAGGACAGAGCAGAGGAUCUUUCCAACCACAUCUGCUGGCUCUGGGGUCCCAGUGAAUUCUGGUGGCAAAUAUAUAUUUUCACUAACUAA